CCUACGGGUGGCAGCAGUGAGGAAUAUUGGUCAAUGGGCGAGAGCCUGAACCAGCCAAGUCGCGUGAGGGAGUACUGCCCUAUGGGUUGUAAACCUCUUUUGUCGGGGAGCAAAAGCCGGACGUGUCCGGCUGUGGGAGUACCCGAACAAGAAGCAUCAGCUAACUCCGUGCCAGCAGCCGCGGUAAUACGGAGGAUGCGAGCGUUAUCCUGAUUGAGUGGUUUAAAAGGGUGCGCAGGCGGAUGUUUAAGUCAGCGGUAAAAUCGUGGGGCUCAACCCCAUCCAGCCGUUGAAACUGGGGAUCUAGAGUGUGCGAGAGGUCAGCGGAAUGCGUGGUGUAGCGGUGAAAUGCAUAGAUAUCACGCAGAACCUCGAUUGCGAAGGCAACAUACCGGUGCACAACUGACGCUCAGGCACGAAAGCGUGGGUAUCGAACAGGAUUAGAUACCCCUGUAGUC
rnacentral:rRNA from 1 species